rnacentral:rRNA from 1 species
GACGAACGCUGGCGGCGCGCCUAACACAUGCAAGUCGAACGGUGAAGAGGAGCUUGCUCGUCGGGACAGUGGGGGACGGGGGAGUAACACAUGAGCAACCCGGCUCUAAGAGGGGGACAACAGUUGGAAAAGACUGCUAAUACAGCAUGACGGAUCGGGUUGGCAUCUUCGUGGUACGAAAGGUUUUGUCGCUUAGGGAUGGGCUCGCGGCUGAUUAGCUUGUUGGUGGGGUAACGGCCCACCAAGGCGACGACGCGUAGCCGGGCUGAGAGGGUGAACGGCCACAUUUGGGCUGCGACCCGGCCCCGUCCCCUACGCAGAGCAGCAGUGUGUUAUAUUGUACGAUGGGGGCAACCCUGAUCCAGCGACGCCGCGUGAGGGAACAAGGUUUUCGGAUUGUAAUCCUCCGUUUACCGAGAAAAAAAUGAUGGUAACCGGUUAGAAAGCCACGGCUAACUACGUG